AACCCCAAACCCAAAACCCAAAACCCAAAACCCCAAACCCCAAACCCCAAACCCCUAAACCCUAAACCCUAAACCCAAAACCCUAAAACCCUAAACCCUAAACCCUAAACCCCUAACCAACUUUCUCUCUCUAGCCCAAAACGCUCUCCCUUCUCUCUAGAAUGGGAGACAAACCACAAACCUUCAAGAAUCUUAACCCACCACCCGAUAUACCACCUUUACCCGGUGGAUUUGAACCCCAAACAAUCCCAGAGGAUCAGCAAAAUCAAGAUUUAACAGUUUUGGAAGUAAUUGGAUUGAAUUCUGGUAAGAACAAUGGUGGCACGUUUUCCAAUGUCAUCAAAACUUCAUCUUCUGCAGCGAUUCAGGGUUUGGGACCCUCACCAAUGAUUCCAGAAGGGCCGAAAACCCUAGGGGUGGUAGAGAUUUCGUCCGAAUCGCCCGAAAUUGACAGAUCAAAUCCCGAGGGGCCGAAAACUGAUUUUUCAAUUAAUCCUUCCACAGAGCUCAAACAGGGACACGCGCCUCACCAUCAGAUUACCCAUGAAAAGGCGAACCUUCGACUAAAAAAUCAUCCAAAUCCGACGUCGGACGCGCCCGCACCGGCGAUCGCAAGUUCCGGCCAGUCGCUCGGAAAAUCACAGAUUCCGGCCAAUCCUGAACUCAUUUCGGAAAACGGAACAUACCGUGAUGAUCAGCAUGAAAUUCCGCAUCUUCCUGUGAAAAAUCAUAAUUUUCUGACACCAUUGGAAAAUCGCCGCCGGUCAACGGCCGGUCAACGGCCGGCGCGUGGUGGUCACGCGCCGGUGACCCUUCAGCAGAAUGUGGGGAAUUUUGUUACGGACCCAAUUCCAUCAUCGGAUUUACCACGGGAGGUCCCUACAGUAACUAAUCAAGCUAGGAAGUCAUAUGCGGCUGCACUUUCCGGUAAAUCUGUAGUCUCUCAAGCUGAGCGCAG
rnacentral:lncRNA from 1 species